rnacentral:rRNA from 1 species
AGUGAACGCUGGCGGUAGGCCUAACACAUGCAAGUCGAACGGCAGCACAGUAAGAGCUUGCUCUUACGGGUGGCGAGUGGCGGACGGGUGAGGAAUACAUCGGCAUCUACUUUUUCGUGGGGGAUAACGUAGGGAAACUUUCGCUAAUACCGCAUACGACCUACGGGUGAAAGCAGGGGAUCUUCGGACCUUGCGCGAUUGCAUGAGCCGAUGUCGGAUUAGCUAGUUGGCGGGGUAAAGGCCCACCAAGGCGACGAUCCGUAGCUGGUCUGAGAGGAUGAACAGCCACACUGGGACUGAGACACGGUCCAGACACCUACGGGAGGCAGAAGUGGGGAAUAUUGGACAAUGGGCGCAAGACUGAUCCAGCCAUACCGCGUGGGUGAAGAAGGCCUUCGGGUUGUAAAACCCUUUUGUUGGGAAAGAAAAGCAGCAGGAUAAAACCCCGCUGUUCUGACGGUACCCAAAGAAUAAGCACCGGCUAACUUCGUG